rnacentral:lncRNA from 1 species
CGUCCUCCACCGCUCGGCACCUAUUGUCCACCAUUAGGUCUUCCAAUCAAAAGAAGGCAGAUGUUAUUCGUCAUCCAUAUUUUGCCAUCGUCUCAUCACCGUUUAAUAUAUUUUCAAUUGUUGUUCGUCGAAUUCACAUCUUCUUGAAAGACUUGAAAGAGCACCGCCAUCAUCAUCUUCAUCGUUUCUCACACCAUUUUCUAUUUUCCGUCUGCUGAUUUCUUUGUUCAUAUCAUAACGGAGGACGAUACGGAGGAAGACAAACUUCACUUGAUGAACAAAUUCUCGAUUUGACGUCGUGCUCACUCCCAUCUGUUUCUAUAUAUGAUUAGGGUUGUAUGCCUUUUUUUCUACUCUCGUAUUCUUGUUUUUCGUUGUUACAGUUACCUUUUUGUGCAUUUGUUGAUAGUAGGGAGAUUGUUUGAAAGACAAAUAAAAAACUACAAGGGAUUCAAAAUAAAGUUCUCAACGGUUUGGCGAAUAUUAUUUCUUUUAGGGCCAUGAAUUUAAUAUAUUUUUCUUUUUUUCCAAUAAUACCAGUUUUAAUUAUAUCUGUUUGUUAGAUAAAUUGUGUGAGUUUAAUGAUUUUCAUAAAUUACGUGACAUUUUAAGUAAUUAUUUUCGGUUACUUUUAAUCGUUUUUGGGAUUUAAAUAUUUAUAUACAUAUUUAAAGGACAUGGCGUUUAGGAAUAGUGACUAUUUCAUUCACCUUCAGCGUCCUCCGCUGCUCGGUACCUAUUGUCCACCGUUGGGUCUUCCAGUUAGAAGAAGGCAGAUGUUAUUCACCGUCAAUCGUUUUCCUUCUUCUUAUCACCGUUUAAUAUCUUUUCAAUUGUUGUUCGUCGAAUUCUUGUCUUCUUGAAAGAGCACCGCCAUCAUAAUCUUCAUCGUUUCUCACACCAUUUUCUAUUUUUCGUCUGUUAAUUUUUUUGUUCAUAUCUCAACGGAGGAAGACAAAUUUCACUUGAUGAACAAAUUCUCGAUUUGACGUCGUGUUCACUCCCAUAUGUUUCUAUAUACAAUUAGUGUUGUACGCUUUUUUUUCAACUCUCGCAUUCCUAUUUUUCGUUGUUAUAGUUACCUUUUUGUGUUUUUUUGAUGUACAGGUCGUCGGAGAUGAUGAAGUGCAAAGUCUUGCGGUGAGUUCCAUUCCUUUUCACUCCCGCUACUACCACAACCUAUGAACUUAUUUGGGGCAAAAUACAGACAUUGCCACCGAUGGAGAAGAAGACCCGAAAAAACCAUGGCUCUGUCAAUUAAUACCUCUCAUCGUUCCCCCUUUUCUCUAUGAAAUGUUGGCUUCCACUUCUCCUGUCACCUUCAUCGUCGUCAUUUACCAACUGUAGAAAUCGGGUCUCAACCAACGAAAGCCCUAAACUCUGAUAGAUUUGUAAGGAGCGAUGACUGUACAUGCUCAAUCGAUAAUUUAUUUUUUUAGGUAAUUCUCACCACAAACCACUAUGCUUAGGUCUAUUGCUUUUUCAAUUAGCAGUUACUUCCACUACUGAAUGAAAGUAAUUAUUUUUCCAAAGUUUUGUCGUCUGCUUCAUUCAUCUCUGUCAUUCUCAAAUCUAAAGACAACGCCUGUGACCAGUUUCAGAAUGCGAAUGAUAUCCACGUGAGGAUAUUGACCGGCUAUUUUUUUUUUUUUUGAUUUCAUAAAGAUUGAAAUUUUAUGAAUCUUAAUUUUCCUAAUUUUUUUGUUGUUAUUUGUACAUAUAGGCACCUUUUAUAUGAACCAUUGUUCCAAAUUGAUUGAUUACACCAUCAACUGCUUUAAAAGAAGGGACACGUGAAAAGAUAGAUGAUGCUAUUUUCCUUGAUUCCUUUUGUUCAUUCCAUUGGUUUUGGUCUAGGUAAUGCAAUCUAAUAACGUUUAGUAUUGUAGUGGCUCUUUCAGGUUAUGAGUUUCAGACGGAUUUUUGCAUAAAGGUAUGGGCUAAUUGCUUGUAGGCCAAAUUGAGCAUUUUUUUCUUCAAAAAAUUAGGACAUUUGUUGAUAAUGAAUCAACUUUACUGUAGUAGACAUAUUGGUUGCAUGAAUGAGCUUACUGGAAAAGCUUUGAUAUGUGAUGAUCUAAAGCUUUUUGCUUUUAUUGUAUAUCGAUGAAAGUUGUCUAUAUAUCUUGAUUGCUUCUAAACUCAUUUUUGCUCUAUAGGAAAUAGUACAGUGUAGUGUGUGUUGUAUUUGUUCUUUGUGCAUUAUUUCAUUACUUUUUUGUCGUUGUUGUUUUGUUGUAUUUCAUACUUGGCAUUAACAAAAUGUUUUUCUGUUCUAGACUUUUAGUUUGUUGAUAAAUUAUUUUGUUUUGUUUAGUUGAUUAGUUCUAUUGCUACUCGUCCACUUCAGCUUAGUAUGUUUGUUAGUGGUAGAAUUGAAAAAAAAAGUUAAUUAAAUUGAGCUAAGUAUAGCUUGGGAGUCUUUGGUAGUGGAAGACAUUUUGGGUAAUUUAGGUUUUAUUUUUGUUAGAAGUUUAGCUAUAUGAUGGGAUCAAUGAGGGGGAGGGUAUCACCAAAGGUGUUAAAAUGGGUGGGUUGUUUUGGGUUUGCUAAUACAUUUGUAUCGUAGUUUGGAAAAAUAUUUACGGAAAGAAUGUGUUUUAAGUUGUAUUUAGUAAAGCAUAGUAAAAACAUAUUAAUUAAGAUAAAAUAAUAAUAAAACAACCCUACGUUUUUCUAAUUCCAACACUUUUCAGAAUUUUGAACCCUUACGGUGAAGCCUCAUUACUUCUAUAAUGGUAUCUCAAUAUUUUUAGGUGUAAAUCAAUUUAUAUAUAAUAAUCACAUCCAUCCCAUACUCAUCCCAUGCAAGUUAAGUGUGAAGGACGGAUACUGGCUCUUUAGGACUGAUAGUAGUUGCUCUUCUGGUAGUAUAGUUGGUAGAUAAGCUUAGGCUAGCUCUCUUCUUUCUUAUGAGAGAGAUUCGCAAUAGGGGCAUUUAUCUGUAAGAAGAAGGCCUCUUACAACUAUCAGAUAUAGGGGAUUUACUUCACCUUGAAUAACUAUCGAAAAAUAGCUUUCUUUUCGGCCGCUUUCAUAUUUCAUUAAGGUAGUUUUCUUACUUAGUGUUUUCAUUAAGGUAACGACUUCACUUUAACUUUUUAUUAGAGGAAAGGGAAGGCCUCCAUAAGGAGGAAGAACAAGAGCUACAUUGGUAAGACGCUCUGCAAGUGGAAGGUCACAUAAGGGCUCCGUAUGGGAUCACCUCCUAGUUAUUAUGAAUGUUCAGUUAUAACACAUAUAUAAACACUGAUUUUUUUUUGUUUUUUGUUUUUUUUUUUUUGCUUUUUUUUAUUUUCCUCAUGCGUCAAAUCUCAAUGAAAAUGAUAAACUCAUAAACAUAAACUUACAUUUCUUCCUUCAUCCUUCAUAUUCACGAUGCACAAAUUCACUAUGUCGAGAAUCCAGAUCCAUACGAAUAUACGCUGCAAUGUUGCAUUAACACAUAUGUAUACUCAUUUUGGCCCAAUUUACGUUUAACAAAAAAAUUACAAGAUGCAACUCAUAAAGGCCCAACUUGUGUAUACCCAUGAGUAUAAGCAUGAUCAUUGAUAUUGAUAUUGUUUAAAGAUAUUUCGUCCCAUUUUUACACUAUAAUGACAAAAUUACAUAAGUGGUCCAU